AUCGGCAUACCCUAAGGGGUAGGAUUGUUGGCUAGUUGCCGACGAUUGGCUAUUGAGCAUAUCAGCAUCGAUCGUCACUGCUCGUACACAUUUCACGAACACCCGCGGUCUAAUCCACCGCGAGGGGUGUUCUUUUCUGGAAAAGUGGUUGAGAGUGUCAACCCGUGAGUCCAGGAGCUAAUAUUGGUGUCACGCCCCGCCCCGAGGCCGCUACCGAUUUGGCACGGUUCAAGCGCGGCAGGCGGACCGCCGAACGGACAGCACCUCCCCUGUCCGCCCAAGGCUCAACAACAAGAUCAUGUACAACAAGUUCCCAGGAAAUCAACUUGAAUACAUACAUGAUCAUGCAACAACAGCGAGAGCACAAACAGUGCUGAACAUUACAAGAGCAAGCGUCACAAGUAGUAAACAUACAAGUGAAACAAAAGAGAGAUACUAAGCUAUUACAUCCAUUCAACUUUGAUACAUUUGAUUUCAACUUAACUAUACAUUCAUCCAAAGCAUAAACUUAAAGUUUACAUUUCCAAAAUAGCCUCACACCUAUACAUCAUCUACUCUCAAGUAUAUAGGGUAACAACUAAUGCAAUAGGAAAGCAUCUACCAAUAAGCACUAGGGCGCUAAGCCNAUUUCAGCACAAGUCAUUUCUAACUCAUAUUUCACUUCUCCAAAUCCAAUAAAAAUAGUAUCUCAUACUAUUUUUAUUUAUUUUUAUUUAUUAUAUUUAAAUCCGGUAUAUUACAUUACACCGCAACCUUACCGGAACCAUUCAAAUGGCUCUCCAACCAAAUGAACACCGUAACCUCAUGAUUUUAGAAGUUCGGUACCUUACAAUUGGGGUUAUAUGCAGGUAGAGUGGUAGUGGUACAGGCCUGAGGUCUGCGGACCGACAUGGUAGGUUUCUGGAUUGGAUAUAUUCGGGACGGAUCGUUCGGUUGAUGCAUAUAUACUGUAGCGGUAGUGGCAUAUGUAUAUCCUACUGUAUUAUCGUUGUAUAUAUCUUUGGUUACCUCUUCCUUUACCGGUGAGUACUCCUCGCCUUCGUCGGCUUACGGUAACCACUGGGAGGGGAGACAUGUGUACAUGUUCUCACCUCCUACCAUUUUUCAGGUGAUGCGGACGGUGAUGGUCGAGACGGUGCGUGAGGACGAUAUUAUCUAGAUGUGCCCAGAGUUAUCCUUUAAUGAUGUUCAUUACAUUUCGUUGGAUUGGUUUAGUUCUAACCCUACCCUCUUCCCAUAAACAAAUGACUUAGACUCUUAUGGUUUAGUUUUCUUUACUUUAUUUGGAUAUAUCGGCCUUAUGAUAUCGAAUAUAGUAUUUGUGGUUUUCAUGUCGAUUUAUGGCAAUGAUUUUCUACCCCCGGUGGUAGCGCUUUAUGGAAAAGGUUUCUGUGUGGGAAACGAUUUUAAAAAGAUUUUCCGCUUUUCAUGAUUCUAGUAUUUCAAAAUGAGUUUCUGGGUGAAAAAUAUUUUAAAUUAAUAGAUGUGGAUUUACGAAUGAAACAUUGUAAUUUUGUGAUGUAGUAAAUGUAUAUGGUUUGUAUAUGUUUGUGGUUGUACUUGUACUCGUGCGACGCCGUGCAAAUAUAGGAAAGACGCUGUCCAUGUGAAUAGUAGAUUUUCUAUAUUUAUAGCGGGUCUGUCAUCCCUUGGGUCAAGGUUUUCAAAAAAAAAAUUAUUGGGCAUUUUUCCGCUGAUUUUACAGACUAAAUGGGACCCCGGGGCGUGACAAUUUAUCUAUCUUUUGUCCUUGUGCUUUAUUGCCUUAUCACAUGGCUUUUAGGCUUGAAUCAAUUUGUCGACACGCUAAUGACCAUGAUGGAGUAUGAGAUUGUCUGCUAAUGCAUUGCUAUUAGUGGAGGGAAGAUUGGCGGACUCCGAUGACCAAUAUGGAACACGAUCCACCAGCACUUUGCCGUCGGUGGAGAAAGAGAUUGAUGGCUACCCAAAACCACGUCGAUGAUGUGUAUGGAGCACAUUUGUUAGAUGUAUGCCCUAAAAGUCAAUCAGGUUGACAUAUGUAUUCUUUUUAGGACAUAAAUUUGUAUUUGGCUUUAAAAUAUCAUGAAUAAAUUUGGAUUCUUAUUUUCUUUCAUUUGUGUAUGUGUCCAUGUCACUCCCCGGGCCCUUUUGGAAAGCUAAUUUUGGAAAAUCCUUGCAAUUUGAAAACAGAGUUGCGGAAAAGCGUACAAUUUUUUUUUUUGUAAACCUUGCCCAAGACAUGCACAGACCCGCCACACACACAAGGCAUCCUCGGUCCAUGCGGACAGAGUUUCCUCUGUAUAUGCAUGGCGUAGGAGAACAGGUAUACAACCACAAGCAACCAGAACAAAGAGAAACUAAUAUACAACUACUAAUAAAUCCAAAACCAUAAUCCAGAAUGCACUAAACCACUACAAUAGGGAAAACCCAACAUCUCAUCUAAACUCAAAACAUAAUAUAGAAAUACGGACGUAUCCGCAAUAUUAAAUGAUGAAGAAAGUAAAUCCGAAGCUACAAUAAGGUCCAAAGCACAAAAUGUCUUGGCGCUAACUACCACGUCCUCACACCGCGCCUCGACCAGCACUGUCAGCGAUUACUGUAAAAAUAGUGGGGUGAGAAACAUAUAAAUAUGUUUCCUAGUGGGGGCGACCGGCCGACGAGGGCAAGCCGCACUCACUGGCAAACAAAGGAGUAUGAUAAACAAGUAAGAACGGAAAUGUAAUAGUCAACUACGGUAGCAUUAUAGAUAGAUAGAUAACUGUCAUGAUCUAGAAUACAAAACAAUGCCGCUACUGUAAUAUGAAUCGAAAUACUAACCAUGAAGUGUCGACCACAUUAGCAAAGAAAACCAAUGAAUAGUCAUCAUAAACAAUCAUAUAAGAGAUAUCGCUACUGUAAACAAGUCAUAUGCUAACAUGAAGGAGCACCAACUACGUUAGCAAGAUGAAGAAUACAAAAUAUCAUAACCCACUCAUGAUGGAUGCCGCUACUAUAGGCUAAACAACUGCUAGAUACCAUGCAUAACCAAAUCGAGAUAUAAUGCAUCAACUGGACAUACGAAUAGUUCAAGAUAUACCCAAUCACUGUGGCCCGUCAUAAUGACCUGGCCUAAACUCACCCACUAGGUCUCAAGGACCGCAAAUCAAGUACCACUCCAGAGGGACACAUCAACCCGCUCCAAAGUCGCUAAAUUUGUCUAAGCGUGGUGCAUAUCAAGUCUGGGGGUGAGAACUCAGGGAGGCGAACCCUGUCUAUGAAACAUCACCUCCCACUGGGCUGGCGACUGAAGUACCCUGGGUUAGGAACCUCUUGGUUCCUAACCCAAGGUGGUUAUCCAGUUCUAGUAAAUUUGGAUCUCAUCGAUGUGAAAUUUCUUUAUUUAUUGUAUACUAUUUGAUAAAGUUUGGUUACUCUUAUUGGUGAAAAGUAGAUGUUUAUAUAGUUGUCUGUUUGCAAGAGUGUUGAAGUUUGGGGGUUUUCUAUGCAUUUAUCCCAAAUAGUAAAGUUUGUGUAUUCAAAUAAAUUAUUCAAAAAAAUGUACAAAGACUAUGAAAUGUAGCUCUUUUGCACACAAUAGCCUAAUUCUUAAACUAUAGUUCAGUAGACCUCUCUGCUCAAUUAGUUUUUAAUUAUACAACCAUUUUGAUAGGUAUUGCAUAUAAUUUUACAAAAUGAUGCCUCAUUUGUUUCUUUGCUGUCUCUUUUUCUCCUUUACAGAGAUUAUGUAGCAUUUAGAACAAAUAUUUCAUAAUAAGCAGAAUUCAAAAAACCUAAAUACCUGCCUGAAACUAACAAAUCUCAGCUAUAGCACAACCAAAAAAAAAUUAAGAUAUAGAAUAAAAAUUUACAUUCUAUAUGUAAAAUAUCCAAUCUAACACUAUAUAUAUAUAGAUCAAGUAAGAAGAAGAGAUAAAAAAUUGUAUGAAAUUAUCAAACAGAGGCACAAUCAAAUAGCCAAAAAGUAGAUAAAAAAUAGUUAAAUUGGGAUGAAUCCAAAAAAUAGUUGUUGAAGAAGAUAAUGAUCGACACACCUAAGGAAGCCUUGGAGCAAUGCGAUCAAAUCCGAGCGACCAAAUAGAAAAUGAAGAACUUGAAACGCAAUUUAACUUGAUUGACUCGACUAACUCCAUCUCAAAUCGCUUUGAAAUCCCAUAGAGAUUAGAGCAUAGUGGAGAUCUUCGAUAUUUGAUAGCAGCAACAGAUCGAAGAUAGGGCGAGGGAGAUAAAGAGUGAAGGGAUCGAGAUUGAUCGAUCAAGAAGAGGAGGUUUAGGUUUUUCGCCUUGGAUUAUUGGAGAAAACAAAUAACUAUGUACCUAGGAAUAAGGAUAGUCAAACAUCUAGUUGGUUUCAACUUUGAAAUGUUGUUAUAGAGAAAACAACUUAUUUUGAACUCAUGUAUAUAUAUAAACAGUUGUACAACUAAUGAAAAUACACUCUGCUUUAUUCCUCCUUUUCUUCUUUUAUGGUAUCAGAGCCUACAAGCUCAAACGAGCGACUAUUCCUACAAUUAUGGCAGAGGACUCAAACAACUCUGAAAUCUCAGUUGUUGCCAAGUCCAUUGUCCCUCUCAAUCAAAACAAUGCAUUAGUCUCUAUUAAUGCAACCUCUCAACCUCCUGUCAAAUUAUCUUCAUCAAAUUAUCCAUCCUAGCAUGCCCAGUUCACAUCUUUGGUUCUAGGAUAUGGUCUAAUGGGCUACAUUGAUGGCUCACUACCUUGUCCUCCAAAACUAUUAUCCGAAAAAUCAAAUCUCGAUUACACCGUAUGGCUCCGCCAAGAUAAACUUUUGCUCUAUGCUAUUAUCACAUCGGUUUCUAAAUCAAUUAUACCUCUGAUUGCAUCUUCUUCAAGUUCACACGAGGUUUGGACAAAACUAGCAAAACUCUAUGCAAAUCAUUCUCGAUCUCGAAUUACGAGUCUCAAGGAGAAGCUUACGUCAAACUUCCGUGAUACCAAGCCUGUAAGUGAAUAUUUACAAUCCUGAAAAGCGAUUGCUAAUGAAUUGGCUCUUAUCGGUGCUCCAGUUCUUGAUGAUGAUCUUAUUAUUCAUACACUCAACGACAUAGGCUCAGAUUUUAAAGAAAUCGCAGCAGCAAUUCAAGAUAGAGAAACUUCUAUCUCUUUUGAAGAACUAUAUGAGAAGAUAGUUGAACAUGAGGAGUUUCUUAAACAAGAAGCAACAAGGGAUAAAUCUUCUGUAGUAACAGCAAAUGCUACACAAAAAGCCACCAACAGCAUGCGAAGCAACAAGGGAAGUUUCACUCACAUGCAAAGCAACAAGGGAAACUUCAAUCGGAACCCAAAUUAUUCUUCCAACUUCAACCGUUCUUCCUUUAACUUCAACCGCAAUUUCAAUUUUCGCAACAAUUCUAAUUCACGACACCGUCCUGGGCAGUACAAUUCCUAUAGAGGAUUUAAUCCUUCUCAAGUCACAGGUCAAUUAUGUAACCAACAAGGACACAUAGCCAAGCAAUGUUUUCAAAACAAAACUGCUCCAUUUCGUGAACCCAUGAUGGCAAAUCAUGUUUAUUCUCAAAACAAUUCUCCUCAAGGUUGGCUCGUGGACUCGGCAGCAUCCCAUCACGUGACGUCGGAUUUAAACAACCUCUCAUUACAUUCAGACUAUGAAGGACAAGAUAAGAUCAUUGUUGGGGAUGGUACACAUUUGAAUAUCACUCACACAAGUUCUACAAAACUAAAUUCCUCCUCUCAUUCUUCUUAAAUGAUGUCCUUUGUGCUCUCUCUAUGAAAAAUAACUUGAUAUUUGUGUCAAAAUUUUGUAAAGCCAAUAACACCUCCAUUGAGUUCUUUCCAUCCUUUUUUGUUGUGAAGGAUUUGCACACGGGGGCAAUUCUACUUCGAGGACCAAAUAAUAAUGAUGUGUAUGAGUGGCCAAAGUUGAAUGAUUCCACAGCACAACCUUUGGCUUUAGUUAGUUUGAAGGCUUCUAUUUCAUGCUGGCACAAAAGACUUGGUCAUCUUUCCUCUCGCAUUCUUCAAUUUCUUGUCAAGUCAUUUUCUUUACCUACUUCAUCUUUCGCAAAUAAUCUCUCUUUAUGCGAUUCAUGUCAAUAUAAUAAAAGCCAUAAACUUCCAUUUGGUACAUCAUAUUUGUCAAGUCGUGGUCCUUUAGAUCUAAUCUAUACUGAUGUUUGGGGUCCUUCAUCUGUCUCCUCUAUAGAUGGGUUUAGAUUUUACAUAAUUUUUGUUGAUCAUUGCAGCAAAUAUGUAUGGUUCUAUCCAAUGAAAAAUAAAUCUGAUGUCUUCUCCAUAUUUGUGCAAUUUAAAGCAUUGGUAGAAAAUCAUUUAAAAACCUCUAUUGUUUCAAUUUACUCAGAUGGUGGAGGCGAGUAUCAAAAGUUAAAAAAAAAUUUUGCUAUGCAUGGAAUCUCACAUUUUACAACUCCACCUCACACUCCCCUACACAAUGGUUCAGCUGAACGUCGACAUCGACAUCUAGCUGAGACAGGUUUAACACUGCUUCAUCAAGCAUCCAUACCAUUAAAAUAUUGGUCUUAUGCUUUCGAAACUGCAGUAUAUCUAAUUAAUAGGUUACCUACACCAAUUCUUAAUUUUAAAUCUCCUUACACAGUCCUUUUUGGUCAUUCUCCCAACUAUCUCAAACUACGUAUUUUUGGUUGUGUGUGUUAUCCAUGGCUGCGUGCAUACAACACUAACAAACUGGAACCAAAGUCUCGCCCUUGCCUUUUCUUAGGGUAUUCCAAUUCCUAGAGUGCUUAUAAGUGUUUAGACCUAUCCACUAAUCGGCUUUAUAUUUCUCGCCAUGUUGUAUUUGAUGAGAGUCGCUUUCCUUGUGCUACUCAUGAUUCCGUUUCUACAAGAAGAAAUCCCACCACCACUGAUACUUGGUCUCAUCUAUCCAUGGAACCCACUCAUUUUUUAGUGCCACUCAUGCAUCCCUCUUCCUAUCAAGCAAACAACCAACUUAACAAAAGAGAUUCACCUUUUAUCAAUGUGGAAUCAUCAACUUCUUCUCGUACACAUCUGCCCUCUUCUCCCCGUUUUAGUGCAACUUCCCGUGCUCCUUCUCCAUUGAAUUCUCAUCCUACCCAUGGCACUCCCUCUAAUGAUAGCACAAGUCCUCCUAUAACUAUUUCUCAAAACCUUCAUCAUCCACCUUUAAAACAAUGUACGCACCCUAUGGUUACAAGGUCUCAAAAUAAUAUAUUCAAGCCUAACAAGUUUUUGCUACUACAAAGCAUCCUUUACCUCAGUCUCUUGAACCCUCUUGUGUCUCACAAGCCCUUCAAGAUCCAAAAUGGCUAGCUGCUAUGAUAGAGGAGUUUAAUGCCCUUAUCUGCAAUGGAACUUGGGAACUUGUGCCAUCCCCACCUCAUCAACAUCCUAUUGGUUGUAAGUGGGUGUUCUGAAUCAAACAUCACUCAGAUGGAACCAUUGAUCGCUAUAAAGAAAGAUUAGUCGCCAAAGGCUUUCACUAACGACCUGGGAUUGAUUUUACACAAACAUUUAGCCUCGUUGUUAAACCCACUACUAUAUGAAUUAUAUUCAGUCUAGCAAUAUCCAAAAGUUGGCCACUGAGACAACUUGAUGUCAACAAUGCAUUUCUUCACGGAACAUUGUCAGAGGAGGUAUAUAUGAUUCAACCCCCAGGUGUUUGUGAUGCAAAUAAUCCAUCUCAUGUGUGUAGGUUGCAAAAAGCACUAUAUGGUCUCAAACAAGCUCCUCGUGCAUGGUAUCGGGAGUUCAUUAAGACCUUAUCCCGUCGUUUCUCUAUCAAGGAUUUAGGGGCUCUAAACUACUUUCUUGGUGUUGAAGUACUCCCUAUACCAAAUGGUUUAUUUCUCUCACAGCACAAAUACAUCAGAGAUCUUCUAGAGCGUACUAAUAUGAGCGGUGCGAAGGAAGUUGGCACACCUCUAUCAUCAUCUAAUUCUCUUACUCUAAAUGAUGGCUCUCCUUACAUAGAUACUGCUGAGUAUAGGAGCGUCAUCGGGGCACUUCAGUACUUAACAUUAACGAGACCAGAUAUUGCUUACUCCGUUAAUAAACUUUCUCAAUUCAUGCAUCGGCCGACUCAAACUCACUGGGCUGCUGCCAAAAGGCUACUACGUUACUUGAAAGGAACCAUCUACAAUGGGUUAGUACUCAAGAAACAUUCUUCUCCAUCAUUAUAUGCGUUUAGUGAUGCCGAUUGGGCUGGAAACAAAGAUGAUUACACUUCCAUCUCUUCUUACAUAAUUUACUUCAGAGGUAAUGCUAUCUCAUGGUGCUCCCGCAAGCAACGAACUGUUGCUCGGUCCGCUACUGAAGCAGAAUAUCGUGCAGUCGUAGCAGCUACAGCUGAACUAAUUUGGGUUCAAUCUUUGCUCAAUGAACUUGGGGUUUCAUUGCCAUAUACUCCAACCGUACACUGUGAUAAUGUCGGAACAACUUACUUAUGUGCUAAUCCUGUGUUUCAUUCGCGCAUGAAACAUGUUGCCCUCGACUACCACUUCGUUCGUGAUAAGUAUCAAAACAGAAGCUAAAAGUUUUACACAUCUCUGCAGCAGACCAACUAGCAGAUGCCUUAACAAAGCCUUUGUCUCGUGCUCGAUUUCACCUUCUCCGGUCCAAGAUUGGUGUCUCUAAUGGGAGCACCAUCUUAUGGGGGCGUAUUGGAGAAAACAAAUAACUACCUACCUAGGAAUAAGGAUAGUCAAACAUCUAGUUGGUUUCAACUUUGAAACGUUGUUACAGAGAUAACAACUUAUUUUGAACUCAUGUAUAUAUAUAAACAGUUGUACAACUAAUGAAAAUACACUCUGCUUUAUUCCUCCUUUUCUUUUUAUAUGGAUUAGGGAGUUAGGGCAUGCAGUGAAGAGGAUCGAGCGCCGGGUUCUAGUCAAGUGAAGGGUUGGGGACAGGCGUGAGGGGUUCGAGCGCUCAGUUGGGGUUUGAGUACAAUGGGUUCAGAUGGAUGGGUUGAUUUGGACAGAUGCUAGUUGGGGUCCUAAUUAAUAUAAUUAAAAAUAAUAAUUUAAUAUAAUUUAGUUAAUGAUGCUUUUGAAGCGUCGUCAAGUAAUUAUUUAUUGGCGAUACUUAAUUAUGAUGUCAAGACAUACCAAAUAUUAAAGAUGCUUAAUCGUGAUGCCCCCUUUCCUAACUCUGCCAUAGUUGCAACCUCCAAAUCUGAGAGUAUUGUAAGGAUAGAAUUUGGUAGUGUAGCUAAACUCUCUGUUAACGAUGUUUGUGUGUGUAUUUUAAUUACAAGAGCACUCGUUAAGUUUCGCGGGAAAACGAGUUUGAAUGGAGGUUUUACGCAACCUUUACUUUUCACUUAAAGUGAAUAGUAACCCGGUUUUUUGGAGAGGCCAAUGAGUAGAGAUGGCUUUUGGCGCGUAUCGGACUCCGUUCAUGGUGAUCCAAUAGCUCGUUUUCAAUAGUUCGACUAUUCUGGACCCAAUAGCGCUGAUGAAUUUUAGGUUUGACACACGGAUUUCAAGAAAAUUGGAUAUAUAUAUAUAUAUAUAUAUAUAUAUAUAUAUGUAUAUAUAUAUAGAGAGAGAGAGAUAGAGAAAGAGAGAGAGAGAGAGUUAGGCUGGUAUACUAUCGGUAGCACGGAGGCCUCUGUGCUACCAAGUUGCUUUCAAUGAUGCGGUUUUCAAAUCGACGAUCGGCUUCGUUAAACUUGAUCUACAUUAUUAAAAGUAUUUGGAAAUUAAAUUUCAUAAUUUUUCGACAUCAUUUGGCUAGUGAUCAAAAGGUCUCAUAAUUGACAGUUUAAAUGGUAGAUGUGAUGUGUUUGUAAUUUAACAGUGUAAAACAAUCCAAAUCUAAUAAAAUUUUUAUAAAAAAUUUUUCUCACUAUUUAGAGUAAGAUCAGUACAUUUGAUCUUAAAUUUAAGUCUUUUACCAUCAUUUUUUAUGAGAUUUUUAUUUUUAGCCGUUCAUUUUUAGACUACUCGUUUGAUAGGUAAAUGAUGCAGAAAAAUUAUGAAAUUUAAUUUUCAAAUACUUUCAAUAGUGUAGAUCAAGUCUAACGGAGCCGAUCGUCGAUUUGGAAGCCGCAUCAUUGAAAACAACUUGGUAGCACGGAGGCCUCCGUGCUACUGAUAGUAUACCAGCCUAGCUCUCUCUCUCUCUCUCUCUCUCUCCCUCUCUCUCUCUCUCUAUAUAUAUAUAUAUAUAUUAUAUUUGCGUGUGUGGUUUUGCUAAAUUGGAGGGAGGAUGGGUUUUGUGGGUUUGAUGUCUCUGUUGUGUUGAACGCACUGGUGUAAUCUGUUCACAAAUCUGACAGACGGAUCUCCUAAUCUCGGGACGCCAGCCGCGGCCACUGCCACAUUCUUUUCCUUCUCUUCCUUUAUCUCCACCAACCCUGCCACCACUGCCUGUGGACCACCAGGGGGGAUCCAUACCCUCGGGUCCUCCCGCUGGCAGCGACCCCGACCUCUUGUGACCUCCCCCGUCGGUCGCCGCUGUCCCCGAGCACCGUCGCUGCCGCCCUAAGCAGCCUACGGCUUCCCUGGAGCAGUUCGGGCAGAGGUGAGCUUGCACCUCUUCCCCCACGCUGCCGCCGCCCAAGGCCGCACCCUCGACCUCCCUCUGACCUCAGGCGGCCCUUCGCUGCCGUCCCGAGGCGCCCCGGCCGCCGCCGACACCGGCGCGAAACCUCGAGCUCGAGCUCAGCCCGUAUGGCUCGGGUUGCUCCAGCGCCACCACCACUGCCUCCCGCCACCGGCCAGCGCAAGCCUAGGACUCCCCCUGUCGGCCGCACCCGCCUGUUGCCGGCGCGCCCGCCGCUAAGCUGCUGUCGGUCGUGCCCUAGCUCCUACUGCCCGGUAAGUCUACGCAGUGCAGUUUUUUGUUGCUGUUCUGGGUUGUUCUCGCUUUUUCGGCGAUCCGAGACUGUCCCGAUGUCUUCGGAGGUGAGCACGGUGAUUGCUGGUCAGUGCUGAUCACAGUUCGCAGAUCUUCAAGUCGCUACCGCGCUCUCCACAAUGAGCCGUUGUGCUCCGAAUCAUGAGCACGGCCUCCGGCAUGUCGAGACCUGUAAGUAUGUGUCUCGGCUGACCUUAGAAGUCCUCGGUUUGCAGUAAUGAGCCACAAAACCUCCUUAUUUAUAUAAAAUAAUAGGAUUUUAUGUAACUGUAGGGACUUUUAUGCAAUUUUGCAUCUUGUGUCUACUGUGGAUAGUAUGUAUGUGUGGGAGGUGGCCUCUGGACUGAUCUUCCAAGGUCCGAAGCCCUUCGCGGAAAUCGAAUAUCGAUUUCUAUGCGUUUUUCAGUGAAAUUCGCCGGCGGAACGCGGUUUCGGUUCGGAUUUCAUCUGACAGUGUUUGAUUGCCCUGAGUUUUGUCGCUAAGCCUUGUCGGCUGGUCAGCAUCAUCAUAUCGUGAGUUCGGAGAUGACGGGUGAGCGAUGGUGCGUUCCGGUGUCGAAAUUGACACAUCCGGGAAUCCGGAUCCGAACGAUUAUCCGACGAUAGUUGUUUUGAUGUAUAACCUUGUGUUUGCUGCCAGGACAUCCAAAACGAUGUGUUUUAUGGUAGCGGGUGACUCGUGGCAUGAGUCGGUGAGUUUUGGGACACUUAGUGGGUCCCGACGGCAUCCCGGUGUGAUUUUCGGGACUUCCGGCGAGUUACGGUGAUCGGUUUUAGGAAAUCGAUUUUCGGGGAUUUGUGUGGGGUUCGUGAGUUGGGUAUUUUGGAUUUGUGGGUUGGAUACUGAUUUGGCGGACCCUUCGUAGGUCCGUUGAAUUUUUUCGCAUCUAGGAUUCCGACGCGAUUGUGACAGGUGGGUACUUCGAGCUGGUAGUCGGUGAGAUCGUUUUACCUUCCUCUCCCUUACUCUUGCUCUUGUAUAUCAAUACUUUAGUCUCUACAUGUCAGCUACUUUUGUUUAUCGUUCGUUCAUCUAUAUCUUGAUAGUUGCGUGGUGACAGUUGUUGAUAAACAUGUAGAGCAGGCUUGCAUAUAUUGUAUAUCUGUGGACAUUGGGUCCAGACAACACAUUGACUCCUUUGUCAUGUGUUUCGAUCUAGUUGAUCAUGCUUCGGCGUUGUACGCCUUUGUAUCUGGCUUCGGCUAAGGCACCGGCUUCCUGUCGGUUUUUCGCCUUGAGCAUAUUAGCAUGAUUUAGUCAUAACACUUAGGUGUAUUCAUUGACAGUAGGUCGGUUUGGCCACCGACCAGGGGUGUACUUAUCGGGAUGGGUCGUCCAGUGGACGCGUGAAUCAGGUCGAUGUAUGCUCUGUGACAGGCAACGCUUGAGGUCUGCCGACCAAUAUGGGAGGCACCAUACUACAACAAAAUUGCCUUUUAGCGGCAAUUUAAUAGCGGCGAUUAUUAGACAGCCGUUAAUACUUUUUAUUAACUUAUGUUUUAGCGGCAAUUAUUUUAACUAGCCAUUAAUUUUAUAUUAAAUAUAUUUAUUUGACAACCAAUAUAAUUCUAACCAAUCCCAGUCACCAACUACAGGUAAAUAUAGAGAGAAAACAACAUCUUCUAUAUAUAUGCCAGUAUAUAUAAGUUUAAGUUCACGUCGUGGGCCAGUUUAAAAAUUUACUAACCAAUGUGUAAGAAGCAGUUGUAAGUAACAAUUCAUUAUGUAUAUAUAUUAGUAUUAAGCUUGAUCGUAGUGAAACAUUUUAAGCUAAUAUGACUUUAAAGUAGAGAAAGAUAAACACCUAUAAAUGAAAUUAAGUAAAAACAGUGAGAAAUCAUUGCUAAAGUAUAUAUUUUGUGAAUUUUGAACUUUCCUCAGGUAUGAAACAACAAGAAUAAGGCUGGAGCACUUAAGAGAGGCAAUGCCAUUAAAGCAAGCACAGAGAAAGAUUCAGGACCUCCUUUGCAACGGAGAGCCGAUAUGGAAGAUACGGUCGAAGGACACGAAAGCGAGGAUCCUCAUCGGUCACGGCCUCGACCACGACCUCGACUGCCUCAAAGUUGAAUACCCAGCAUUCCUUAUCAGGUAAAGACACAUACUCAUUAGUUUCUGUACUGGUUAACGAGCGUCAAUCAAUUUGGCUUCUGAAAACCUUCUGUAUAUCGAAAAGUAGUAAUUAGUUGUUUGGAGCUUUAGAUAUACUAAAGUUUGAUUUGAAGUAGAACUUCAAUUAUUUAACAUUUUUGCAUCGAGAAGUUGUUAAAGAAUUCAUGUUUAAAAAUUAGUCUGUACUUCUUAAGACAACUAUAUAUACUCUAGACAUAGCACUUCUACAGAACUUCCAACGAUACUAAAAAAAACACUAGUGUGCAUCUAUGUUGUUGUUUCAAAGGGGCCAGCAUCCUAAUGCGAGUCAUGUUCGAAAUGGAGGGAGGUCAGAUUUGAUCAAGUUAUGUUUAAAGUGGUGUGAGGCUGGUUGAACCAAGGGCGUUGUGUUUGUAUGUUUUAAGUGAACUGGUUGCGUAUAAAUUAGAGCUUUUUAGAAAAGUAUGCUACUUCUGCUGUGGAAAGUAGGAACAAGAUUUUAAGCACUUAAAUCAAAUGUUUCAAUAUAGAUAUUGUAUAUCUAUUAAUUUUCACGUCAAAUGGAUUUUGAAAUGAUCACAGGGACACAGCCAAGUACCCACCCUUGAUGAAAACAAGCAAGCUAAGCAACUCACUCAAAUACCUAACACAAGCUUAUCUAGGGCAAGUUUCUCUCAAUUACACCCUAUAACAUUUCAUCUAUCAAUCAAUAUUUUUUUUUUCUACAAUCAAUUAUAUAUAUAUAUAUAUAUAUAUAUAUAUAUAUAUAUAUAUAUGGCUUAUGAAAAUUUUCUAUUUUUGCUAAUUAAUCUUUUUAAUGUAGACAUGAGAUUCAAAAUGGCAUACAAGACCCCUAUGAUGAUUGUGUUGCUACGUUGAGGCUGUACACGCAGAUGCGGUCGCAAUAGCACCCGCGAGACUAUUUGGGUUCGGGCGAGGCCUCGAGCAGCAACAACUAUCCAUCGUGGAGGCAAAGGGAGUUUGAGAGGAUAAGCCCAUAAGCACUUUUGGAGCUAUCAGGGUCUGAUUACUAUUGCUGGUAAUCUAGAAUUUCUUGUAUAUUCUAAAUAUAUUUUCUUAGUAUAUUUGUUAAUAAUUUUUUAACCGCUAUUUUUAUAUAUUUUUCUUGCAGAUUAUUCUUCUUAAGCCCAUGGAUCUUUUCUAUUAGAAUCUUCACUCUUUAAGGAUGAGUCUUCGUGAACUGUAGUUGAACUUCUCUAUUGAAGUGCAUAGAACUUUCCUUUCGCUUAUAAAACUUUUUAAUUACAUAUUAGUCUUCUUGUAGUUCGAAUUUUUUUUUAGCUAUCUAAUGUUUGAUUGACAUUUGUUUUGUGAUAAAAAUUAAUUUUGACAUUUAUUUGUAUUCAUGAAAUGUUGGGUUUUUAAUUUCAUUGUCUAUGCGUUAUCUUUUGAAAUUUUUAUAGUGAUUUAAUGUUUUUAUAGUGAAUAUAUGACUUAAAUGAUGAUUUAAUAUUUUUUAUAUUUAGUGCCUAUUUAUCUUAUCAUUGUUGGCAUUUGUGAUUAAUGUUAGAUAUUUUAUGGGCAAAUGUAUUUUGCUUUUAUUGCCGGUAUAGAGUAAUCUUUAGUGGCAAUUGUUUUGCUCUUUACCGGCCGCCAAUAUAAUUGCCGCUAAACUUUUACCGACCUUAUUUAUAGUGGCAAUUAUUACAAUUGCCGGUAAAGAGAGUAGCGUUGAUUAAAAUUUUAAUCACCGCUAAUCUAUAAGAUAAUUGCCGCUAAAAGGCAAUUUUGUUGUAGUGUGGCCAGAUUGGGUACAGUUUUAGUUUGAUUACCUUCAAGCAUGCUUAGUAUUGUAUUCCUUACAGUAGCAGUUUUUAUCAUUUGCUCUCUAGCUAUUAUAUCUGUUGUUAUAGCUACUGUAGUUGUUCUUCAUAUCCUUACACAUAUAUCAGUUUGUUCUAUCUUCUUUAUUUUCCAAUGAAUACGAUUUGCCUUCGUGACUCUGUCGUACGCACUCGGAAACCUUGAUUGUGGUUUCUCACCUCCCAUUUUCCCAGGUGGCUCGGGUAAGGAAUUGGUUCUUGGUGCGACGGCAGGACGUCCUAGCUAGGCUACGUUAGCGGUCGUCACCCUGGUUACUCUCUCUUUAUGCAUUUUAUAGUUUAAAUAAUGAAUAGUUCAGUUAGAUGAUCAUUGUUAUUGUUUGAAUAAUCGUGAGCUUGUGCAAGUUGAUGCUUGCUUUUAUGCAUGCAAUCGAAAUUUUAUGAAUCUUUGGUAUUUGAAUUUAUGCGUUGUGGUUUUCUAUCCCUCGAGAUAGUCGGUUUUUUAAAAUGGAGUUUCUGAGUGAGAAACAGUUUUAAAAGAUUUUCGAAUGGUUUUUAUGGAUAAUCAAAUAGAGUUUAAAAAAUAAAGCUUUUAGGUGGAAAGUACUUUUAAAUAGGAUGAUUGUUGUAUUAUGCAUCGCAUCAUCCAGCACCUAACGAGUGUUUAGAGGCAUGCAUCAUCUCUAAGGUUCGCUAGCUGUAUGGAAAUGCAUUGCAUGAAUUACUUGUGGAUUGGUAAGUGUAGGUUGUGGUUGUGAUCCUGUUGUUGUUAUCGUUGGGUACGCCGUGUAAAUAGAAAGAAGACUCUAUCUAUGUGGACAGAGGAACUUUGUAUUUGUGGCGAGUCUAUACGGCACGUGAGCCAAGUUGAGUUCAAAAAAAAAAAGGCAUGUUUUCCGCAACUCUGGUUUCUAAAAUAGUAUUCAUUAUAAAAACGUUUUUAAAAUCUGCCCUGGGAGGUGACAAGUAUCGAUGAUCUCAACUCUACAUAGUAGUUGUAGUUUUCAUUUAUUCGAUGCUCUCAUUGUUCUAAUUUUGAUGAAGUUGUGGUAGGGAUGUAAUAUGGGCCGUGCCGGGUUGGCACGACCCACAUUUUUCGGGCCAUUUCGGGCCAAGGGUCGGCCCGGCCCGACCCGGUUAUUAAUCCGGGCUCGGCAGUGCUGGCCCGUUUAGGCAAAGCAGGAGGCCCGGCCCGGCCCCUGGCUUGGCCAGCACGGGCCAUGCCGGGCCAAGCCAGGCUUCGUUCCAGCCCAGAUUUUUUUAAAAAAUAUCUUUACCCAGUUUUUUUCAGAAUUUUUUUUCAGAAAAAGAGAUAAUUUUUUAAAAAAAUUAUAAAUUUGACUUAUAGCUUUUACUUUAUACAAUUAUAUCCAACUUUUUGAAAACUCUUUUAUUAAAUAUUUUUAAUAAUUUUUUUAUUAUUUGAAGAGAAAUGUAUAUUUAAAAAAAUAAUUACAAAAAAAAUAUAAAAGUUUGCAUUAAUCAUAUUACAUAAAGUUUGUAUUUUUUUAAUUUUUUUUUAAAAAGGAGUUUAAAUUAUAACUUUUUGACUUAUAGUUUUUAAUUUACAAAAUAAAACCCAACCUUUAUAAAACUUUUUUAAAAUUUUUAAUAUCUUUACAUAAUGUUUAAAUAUCUUUUUUAAAUUUUUAAUCCAUUUUUUUUAAAAAUAAUAAUAAAAAAAUAUUUUUUCAGAAAGAAAAACCCACAACCCAACGGUUAUUGAGCCGUUGGACCCGCUGUCCAAGGGUCUGCCAGACCCUUGGAUAGUGGGCCUUGGGAACAGGAGCCUUUAACCUUUAUAGGCCUAAAUAAGCCAGGCCAUAAAGCCAGGCCUAACUUUGGCCUAAAAGUUAGCGGGCCGUGCCGCGCUGGGCUUUGGGCCGAACCUCCGGCUCGGCACGGCCCAGGCCUGACACGGGCCGUCCCGUUCCGGGUCGACGAGCUGUAAAAGUUCGGCCCAGCACGGCCCUUAGAUCUGGGUCGAGCCGGCUCGGCACGAUUGCUACAGUAGCUGUCCCGGGCCAUGGCCCGACCCGUAGUCGUGCCGGGCCGCCCCGGCCCGUUUUACACCCCUAAGUUGUGGCCUCCCUGCACCUUGAUGGAGGGCAUUAUGCAUCUUGCCUAUCACUUGCUCGAUGAAAUGCGACCAAUGUGAUCUCAAGCACUGUCGUAGUAAGAAAAAGACGAUGGUCGCCCACUUGAGUUGGUGGUCAUUCGCGGAGCACAUUGUCGUCGGCCGCAUUAACCAAGAUGUACAAUAUGAAUAUUGUAAAUAGAGAAAAGAAAUAAUCUUUUCUUAGAUGAAAAGCAAAGAAAAAUAAAGAGUAAUUUCUAUUCAUUAGAUUUUAUUCUGGAUUAAAAGAUUAAAAUUAAAAAUGAUAUUGAGUUCUCUUAAAGAAAAAAAAGAAAAAGAAAAAAGAGUGCAUAUAGACUUCAUCUUGACUUAUUUAUACCUAUACGUUAUUUUUCAUAAAUUUUCCACGUGGUAGUAUUUCGAUGUUUUUCGUUUGGGUUAUCCUGCUAUAAUUACAUGUAAUCGUGCUAAGAUUACUAUGUUGGCUCAUUCAAUCUGUAACCUGGUCGGUAAUGUAACAUUAUAAAUGAUGUAGAAUUAUUCUGAAAUUAUUAUCGAGUCGGGGAUGGUGCGAGGACUAAGAAUUUUGCGGUGUAGCCAAACAAUUUAUUGAUGAUGUUUUUGUGUGUAAUUUAAUUACAUAAGCACUCGUCAAGUUUCAAAAGAAAAUGAGCUAGGAUCGAGAAGUUACGCUACCUUUAAUAAUCACUUAAAGUGAAUAGUAACUCGGGUUUUUUUGGAGAGGUCAAUCAGUGGAGAUGGCUUUUGGUGCGUAUUGGACUCUGUUCUUAGUGAUCCAAUAGCUUGUUUUCAACGGUUCAACUGUCCUGGACCCAAUGUAACUGACAGAUUUGGGUUUUGAUGCACGAUUUUCGAGAAAAAGGGAUUUUAUCGCAAUAAGGAUUUUUUUGUAUUCGGAGAGAGGAUGGCUUUUGUCGCAAAUCGGCGACCAAUUCGAACUAAAAAAAAUCGUGAAUUCGAUGUCCCGGCCGUGCUGAACGCACUGGUGCAGUUCGUUCGCAAAUCCGAUGGGCGGAUCGCCAGAUAUUGCGCCUUUAUUGAGGAAGGGUCAAAUUGAUGUUUUUGGCAUUUCGCGCGAAACCCCCUAUAUUUUAUGUGCGGAAGAAUUCUAUGAAACUCUGAGGGUUGAUGCGCGGGGUUCUCUUACACACGCGGCCAGGACCUCAUCAACAAUAUCGCUUUUUGAGGGUGGCACACGCGAAGUCGGCAUGCUAUAAAGUUGAUUUUCAAGGUAAUUAAUUACCCUAACCCUAACCCUAACCCCUAGCAACCUCAGCUGAGCCCCUAGCCGCCGACCCCUCCUCCUACUAAACUCCCUGCAUGCAGCCGCCACCGCCACCGACUAGCCCCAGCUGGCCGGAGUAGCUACCGAGCUCUCCUCCGGAUCGGGUUGCCGGGAGAAGGUCUGACCCGUUAAGAAACCAAGAAGAAGGUCCAGGUCCAAGCGAUCUUGUCGAAGGGGCACUUGGCCCAAAUAGAGGGUCCAAGUCCAUUUACUCUUUUACCUUGAUUCUCAGUUUAGCAUAUUAGGAAUUAGUAUUUACAUUUCAGUACGUUGUUUAGCGAGAAACAAACGACAGAAGAAUGUAAUACAACGAAAUUAAUAAGAAUUUUGUAAAUUACUUCUUUCAAGUCUCUUCUCCCUAUUUACUUCCUAACCCUAAUCUCUCUUCUCUCUUUCUCGCUCUCUUUAUUCCUUCUUUUUUCCUAUUCAUUCCAUUUCUCUAAUCUUUCUUAUCUUUCCUGCUAUCUUUCAUCACACUUAUAUUUACCUGUUUCAUAACAACCGUGCUGGUUUGGACCCAACAUCCCAAUCGCCAUCCUCACCUCAGCGAGUUCUCAUCAUUGACGGGUUGUAACGGUGUACGUAACAAAGGUCCUCCUUAUUCAUAGAUUGGAGGGAUCUCGAUAGGUCUUGGCCCCCGAGGCUGACAAAGGCAAGAGAUCACUGAUCAGCAGGGUGUAGAUUGAGGUCUCAACAUAAUGUUCAAUUCGGCGAGUGAGGAUGAUGAUGCCAUCACCUCAACGAUACUAUCGGCACGAGGAUUCUAUGGCUAGGUUAAAGAUUGUUUUAGGAUUACAUUUUUGGUUUAAGGUUUUAUUCGAUGUCGAAUAAACAGUAAAGCUUUUGCUUUUUUAAUUUGCGUGACAUGCAUAUUGCGUGUCCCAUUUGCUAGUUAUAUUAAGUUAUAUAGGAAUAUAGAAGUAAUUGAUCCCCUUAAUACAUUUGACAUCCAUUGGCUCAACGAGUUCAGAAUUAUGUUAUGGCAAAUUUUGCUGUUUUGGGCUCAAGCCAUGAUACGUCUGUGUCUGACACGGUUAGACAGGAAAAUAAAGUGAGGGGAAGAAUAAGAUAUUUCAGAUUUGUAAACCUUUUAUCAUGUAAACAACCUGUAAAUGCCAUAUAUAACAACUGUGUUUUGAUAAAUUUGUGUUUUGAUAAAUUUGUAUUCUGUACUGCAAUCUAUCGACUGAUAAAUUUAUUAGUUCCGUGUAUGUUUCGAAUGAUUCUUUCACCAUUUCUUUUUCUCGCUAGCUGUACCUUUAAAUAUACUCUGAAAGUUGUUUCAAAAUCACGCUAUAUAGUUUUUGCAAAUUAAAGCUAAUGUUAUUGUUGGUCUAAAAGUCGCACCCAAGCCCGGGAAAUUUAGGUUCAAUCCUGAGUUACCAGAAAAUUUCACUGGAAACUUUGCUUCAGAAGCAUUAAUACUUAACGAGGAAAAUUUCUCUCCAAAAUAUCAUUUAAUACAAGCUAAAACACAGUGGUCGAUUCUACAACAAGGCUCUCGGCAAUCAAUCUAAAGCCAAUUUAUAAAAUUGUCUCUAGCAAUGAAAUAAUUUUUGUGCUCAAACUGUACUUACUGAAGGAUAUGUUCAGUUACUUGACAUUUCUAACUGUUCUUAAUAACCCGGAAAAUACAGUCCUACAUACACAUGAUACUCUCUCCUCAGUUAGAUGAGCUGAUCCGACUAAAGAAGAAAAGAAACUUACAAAACAUGCCGAAUUCAGAUUGAUACAUUUCUUCUGAAACGGCUUCUGCAGCAGCGGUAAACGGAUGUUUAAUCCUCUAGAAGUCGAAAGCGAGCUUCUUAUGGCGACUAAUGUCACUGAGGUACCUCGUGGCAUUGUAUUCCUCCGCAUCAUGGAGCUCUUCAGAAUAAGUCCUGCGGAUAAGCGACUUCUGGAUAAUAUUCUUUGACUCUAAGGGAUCUUCUUCGCUGCUUAGCAACUUCACAACCUGCGGCCGAAAAAGGCAAUUAUCUCAAUUGAUAAAAAAGGAAUGUGUUCUGAAAUCAAUUGCAGCAUUAUUUGCAUUUCAAAGGAAUUGCCUGACUCAUUCGAGGUCGUAGCAUCGGAGAGUGUUGAAUGCACAUGCGAGCCACUUGAGCUACUCUGCUUACUUGCUUUGAGUCGUAAGAAUCGCAAAAUGAAGGGUCGAGAAGCUCCGUUGUCCACUGAUUUUUCUCGAGAAAAGGCUUCACCUGAGGUGAUGACAAUGAUGUUGAUUUAAAUUUCUGUUUUUCUAGCAUUAUCUGUUUCGUCCUCCUGCUUCGAGAAAAGUAAGGAAAGAAAGAUAGAAAAUAAGAGAUUGGGGGCGGAACACAUACCCACAUCACUAGACUUUGCUUUGAAGUAUCUAAUGCUUUACGCCCAGUAAUGAGCUCUAGUAGUAGAACUCCGUAGCUAUAUACAUCAGUUUUCUCAUCGACAAUGCCGUGAGUGCAGUACUCAGGAGCUAGAUAACUGCUUAAUAAGAAUGUAGAACUUUAAAAGAAAUGGUAAAGGAAAAAUUACAAACUAAGCAAUUGACUACGAAUAUAGAGGUACAAUAUAAGUUUGUCCGUAGCAGACCCAAAAGUGCCUUCGAAGCUCGACACAGUGUGGUGAGUCAACUUGUCAGGUAGCCACUUAGCGAGUCCAAAAUCACUUAUCUGGAUCAUAAGAAAUGAAGAGUUUGAAUAAUAAUACGACGAAAAGGAGGCCAGAUGAACAGCUUCUGUUUAGAAGUUUGUAGAUGCAAAUUUGCUCACAAUGUUGGUGACGAACUAACAAUCUAAGAAUUUUCUGAUUUCAAAAUCAAUUUUACAGUUGAAGUCCUUAUGAUUCUCUCUUUGUUAAUGCAUCACAUGCCAGAGAAAACUAUCAAUGCUCUUCGAAACAAACUAUCAAAGUGGUCUUCAAAUAAUUAGAUUUAUUGAAAUAAUAAUCUCCGUCUAUUGAGAACAAAUUAACUUAAAAAUUGAUGGUACAUCCAUCACACCUUGCUUGAAAACUAUACCUGUGGUUCAAACUCCUCUGUAAGCAGUAUAUUCGCGGCCUUAAUAUCGCGGUGAAUGAUUCGUCUUGGACACUUCUCAUGAAGAUACUCUAGCCCUUUCGCCGUCCCUAAUGCAACCUUGUAUCUAACAUCCCAAUUUAAUUUUGACUUCGAACCUUUAAUAGAUCAAAAAAGAAAAAGAGGAGUAAACAUAAGAAUCUUAAAAGGAAAGUUUGAAAAUUAGACCAGUAGACAAUUAGCUAGUCACCAUGAAGAAGAUUAGCCAAGCUGCCGUGAGGUGACAGCUGAAGCACAAGAUGCAUCCCUCCAUCAACGCCAAGUCCGAUCAACUUUGCGGUAUUCGGAUGAUUCACGUGAACCGUAAUCCCUAGCUCAGUUAGGAAAUUUUUGGUUCUUUCGUCCGAUGUUCCCUGAUUGAGUCUCUUAAUUGCCACGACCUCGCCAUUCUCUAGGCGUCCCUUGUAAACCUCUGCGUACCCGCCUUUACCGAUGAUGUUAUCUAUAACACCAAAUGUGAUAAUUUUGUACAGUGAAGUAGUUGAAGCAUCACAGAAAUAGCUGAUAAAAAGAGAGAUGAAAAAAGAUGACAAAGUUCCAUUUUAUUAGCUCUGAGCUGAUGGAAUUGAUCUUCAUGAAAAUCAGCUAUCAAAGAUAAUAUUGUAAGCAAUACUUUCCAUGUAGCAUUGGACUUUUAAGAUGUAGUUCAAUGUGGCAUUGAACUGAACAUUUUAUCAACCAUAGUGUGUUCAAUCAAUUAAUCAACUGCAGAUGAAAUUGAUUCAAGAAGCAUAACCUGAAGAAUAAAAUGAGAAAAUGAAGUUAAACUAAAUUACCAAAAGAAAAUAUUGCCUUUAUUCAUGUCAUUGCUCCUAUAAAAUUAGCAAUCAAAGAAACUCUAGAGAGAACUGAAGCAGAUCAUAUGGUCUUAAUUUACUAAUGAAAAGUGAUAGAUCAUAUAUAGAACUUGGUCUCACUAUCCUAAUUGGUGGCCAUUGCUGAUCACGGUAAGAACAAAAUAGUCAUAAUAUGAAAAUAUGCUAAGUUUUGACCGGUCCAGCAACAUAUUUUGGAAAUUUUUAAAAUUUGCAGGGCUAUUAAAAUAUUUUAAAGCUUAGAGGGGGUAAAUAUACAAUAUCCCCACAUUGUGCGGAUAUAUGUGAAAUUAUUCCUUUAAUUAAAUGUCGGCGUGAAAAUUAAUAUAGAAAAAUUUAGGCCUCAUUUGGCUAAACUUGCUGUUAUUUUCUUUCAUUUUUGACUCAAGCCUUGCGUGAUCAAGAAAAAUUUAGUAAUGAGUCGAAUUAUUUAUCCCUCAGUCUAUUUGUAACGACCUGACCCACUAGCAACAAUAUUUCGUUGGGCCCAAAUUACCGGCCCAAAAUAUUUAAACCUAGUUGAUAAAAAAACGUUCUCGUCGGAUCCAAACUAGAUCACAGAUGCAGACUGAAAUUAUCAAGCGAUGUGAGAUUCUAAAUAUGAAUAGUCCUUGUCCCGCUUCCGGCUGGUAUUCGGCUCUGAUACCAAAUAUAACGAUCCCACCUGCCAGCAACAAUAACUCGUUAGGCCCAAAAUACUUAAGCUCAGUUAUUAUUUCUAGCGUAUAGGCCUCAUAUAAACUGAUCGAAAUUAGUAUCCCAUCCGAUGUGAGACUAUUGGGGCGUUACAAAAUUUCAUCUUUUUGCUAGUUUUUGUCUGAUUUUGUAACCUUGUAUAUUUGUUAGUUUAGCAAGUAUGCGGCGACUGUUAUGUCCUGGGUUCGUGGCGUGACAACGAGUUCAAGAGGUGGCUCCCACCAAUCCCGUUGAUGUGGCACUUUGUCCCGCAUAGUACUUAACUUUCACACUUCCGGCUGGUAACCUGUCUUUAUACCAAUUAUAACAAUCCGAUCGGCUAGCAACAAUAACUCAUUGGCCUCAAAUCACCGGUCCAAAAUUCUUAAGCCCAGUUAUUAUUACAAGCGUGUAUGCCUCAUAUAUUCUAAUUAUAAUUAUUUUUUUAUUUAAUGUGAGACUAUUAAGGCCUUAUACUAUUAGAGAACUAUCUCUCACCGGAUUGCGAAAGAUGCUCCACUACAAAUAUUCUUGUUAUUGCUUCGACUCAUAUACCGCCAAAAGUGGAUCCCGCUGGUAUCAUUUCCAUUACAUCUGUGGGGCAACCUCGUACACAUUAAUUGAGUACACCCUAUACAAGUAUCAUAAAUUUUUACUGAUUGUGACAUUGGAUGUAUAAAUUCCAAUUUUGAACAUAAAAUUUUUUUUGGAGCUAACAACCAACAGCAAAAUAAAAAGAAAGUCCAUCCCCCGACCGCCCCCCACUAAAAGUGUUCUUGAAUUGGAUCGGGUCUGAAUAGUUGAUAUACCGUAUCCGUAUUUUAAAAAAAUAAAUAAAAAAAAUAUACCUUACCUAUUUAACUUCGGAUCGGAUCCGGAUCUGGGUACUUAAGUUAAUAAUACACCUAUCAGGUCUAUUUGACCAGGUUUGGCUAGUGACUAUCUGUAUACUACCCGCUAAAGAUCAAUAUGGAUCAGAUACAUGUCAGGUCUAGAUCGGAUAUGGAUAUCUGUAUGCAUACAUUUGUUCUAGACUUUAAUUAAACAAUUCAUGAACAAACCAUAAAUUUCUCACUAUAAAAAACUCGUGUUUUAAUUAGUUGCACACAGUCUAAUAAAAUUCAUUCAAAAUAAAGAUUCAAGCAGUAAACAGCUAGAAUUAAAAAAAUGAGGAGUAAAAUAAAAAAUAUAAAAAAGGAGCAAAUAGAGUGACUAGAGUUUUCGCUAGGAUGAAAAUAUAUAGAGACCUUUCAUCUAUAAGUCCUAUUGAAAUUGAUCCCUCAAGUUCAAACUUUUUUUUAUUUUCUAUCAAAUAUUUCACUGGAUCCGGGUCCGAGUCUUGGUCCGAUUCGGGCUCCAACUCCGGAUUUGAAAAUUUUUUCAGACCCUACCCGUUAAAAGGUCGGUUUCAGUCGAAUCCAAGUCGAGUAUGAGUAUAAAGUAUUUUGACCCAUAUCUGAAACUUUAAUGGAUAAUUUUUUUUACUUGUAUACUAUCCACUUUUUAUCGGAUCCGGUUCGGGUCUGGGUAGGGUUCGAAUCAGAUCCGGAUUGGAUAUGAAAUAUCAGGUAUUUUUGACAACUUUACCUCCUACAUCUGACCCAAAAAGAAAAAAGGAGAAAAAAAAAGAAAAGGCCAUAAGGCACCACAUUAUUUAUAUAUAAAUAUAUAUAGUUUUUGAAUUAAAAACAAUUUAAAAAUAUGACCAAACAGGGACAUUGGUUUACCACUUUUGAGCUACCACGCUAACAAAAGGCAAUCUCAGGAACAAAAACAGGAUAAAAAAAAAAAAGAAAAAGAUUUUAAUAAAUUAUAGUUUUGCAUAGAUUCCAGUUCCUACCGAAAUAGCUGUUCCCGUAUCAGUAAAAUAUAAAAAGAAUCAUACACCAAAUAAUCUGCAUUUACCCUUGAAAGUUGAAACAAGGAACAAAAACAGACCUGGGCUGAAGUCAUUUGUGGCCUUUUGGAGCUCAGCCAGUGUGAAGUUCCUCCUGCAGGGCUUAACCAGGCAGUACUCAUUAUUCUCGCCAUGCGUCGAGCUCGACCGCGGCACCGCGAGGGGCUCCGUGCUGCUCAUCCGCCUCCUCGAAAGCUUCGGGACUCCGAACGGGGGGAAGCUCGACAGCCGCUGCAUCGAUUUCUUCCUCCAGAGCUGGAUGAACCCCCGCCACAUCGAGACCUGACAUCGCGCAACCUGCACCUCGGCGUACGACGUGCUCGCUUUCGACGAAACCGUCUCCGAGUCCGAGCUCCUAAUGCAGCAAUCCUCGAGCACACCUCCCGGCGACGGCUCUGCUCUCUCUCCUCUACUCUCCUUCUCGAGCUCAAGUGAUCUCAAAUCUAUCGAUAUAUAUCACCCGAAAAUGAAAGAACAUAAGAAAAUCAUACUGCAAUGUCAAAAACUAAAAAAUACAAACAAAAUUUCGGAGCAAACCGUGUGCGGAAACGGAGGCCGAGAGCCUGAUCGGCGGAUCUUGCUCGCGGGACGGGAAAACUGCUACCUUUCUCCGCGGUUUCUCCGAGCAUUCCCUGAGGAUUCACCAUUUGGGCUAUUGAGAAGCACAAAAUUCUUGUUCAUAAUUUGCUAUCAAAAGGAUCAAACAUAGUAAAAACUUUUGGAUCCCAUGAGUUACAAGGAAAUGGGAAAGGAAUGAAAAAAGGAUGAAUUUUCGCGGUGACCAUGAUUAAAAAAAAAAAAAAACUAAUGAUAGAACAAAAUUAUACAAAUCCAAUUGUGAAUAAAAGCUUACACAUUUAAAUAUAUAGAUUAAACUAUAAAUUGACUUUACUCUAACCAAUAAUAAGUUGUUAAAAAAAAAAAAAAAGAGAAAUAAGAAGAGAACAUACCCUUGAGGAGAACCAGUAAUGUGGUCAUUUUUAAGCUCUUCCUCCAUUUUUGCUUCUUGCAACAAGUAGAAGCACUUCGAAUUAUGAUUACAUAUAAAGAUUACAGCACAAACCAAUUAAUCCCCACUUUGAUCCAAAUUGAAGGGAAAUAUUUUAUUGUGAUUUGAAACGUAAUAUGCUAAAUUUGGUUUGGAGAGAUUUGGGUGCUUAAAUUAAGAAAAAAAAAAAAAAAAGAGUGAUCUUGGGAGGUACUCUUUUUUGUGAAUAAGUACGGUGGGUUAAGAGAGUCCCAUUAAAAUUAAGAAAAAAUAAUUAAAAAGGAAGUAUGGGUAAUGCGUCGUUGGCGCGGUGUCUCCGGUUUCGUCCUCUUAAAAUAGAAACGACCGUUGGGAGGCUUCUAUUUUUCUGCGGUUGAAAAACAAAAGAAAAAAAAGAAAAAAAAAAAAACUAAAUGGCCACGCUCUUUUGCAAACGGAUCCCUGACCUUUUAAAUUUGAAUUAAAUUCUUUAAAUUUUGUCAAAUAGUUUAAUAGGCCGUUCUUGUCAAUUAAAUUUUUUAGUUACACAAUUAUUUUGGUGGUUUGUAUUGCAUAUAAUGAUCAUGCAAAUAUUUAUCCGACUGAAGAAUAGAGUAAUUUUUUUAAUUUUUAUUAUUUUUUAUGUGUUAGAAUAAAAGAAAUAUAUUUUUGUGUAUAUAUAUAAAUUUGAAGGUUUACAAGAUUAUAUAUUGAGAAUAGUCUAAUAGAGUUGAGCUAAAAUACUUUCAGUAGCAAAUGGGCUCCGUUGCCACCCAUUUAUUUUCGAUGAUGGAGCCUCCGAAUCGACGAUCAACAUUGUUGAAAAUGAUCUAAUAAUACCACUUGAAGUAUCUAGAAAUCAAAUUUCAUGUUUUUUCGAUAUUGUUCUCUUGUCCAUCAAGUGGGUGUAAAAAUGAACAGCGAAAAAUGAAUAUUCUCUAAAAACUGAUGUUAGAAAUUUUGUAAUCAAGAUCGAGAGUAUAGAUCUUGUUUUAAAUAAUUUAAAAAAUUUUCUAACCAAAAUUCAAUUGAUUUUGAUAGUUUUACACUGUUAAAUGAAAAAACGCCUCAUAUUUAGCAUUAAAAAUUAUAAAUUUUGAAACCCUUUUAUUAUUAGGUCAAUGAUGUCGAAGAGAUUUGAAAUUUAGUUUCUAAAUACUUCAAGUGGUAUAGAUUAUGUUCAACAUUGCCGAUCAUUGAUUUGAAGGCUCCAUCAUCGAAAAUAAAUGGGUGGCAACGAAGUUCAUUUGCUAUCGAUAGCAUUUCAGCUCAACUCUAGUCUUGUAUAUAAGAUAUAAUCGGGCUAAAUCUUUAUUCCAGUUAUAGCAUAGUGGGUAUUGGUUAGAUUCAAAAGAUUAAGAGAGUUAAGCGAGUUUAGUGAUAAAAUAGUUCUAGAAUGAAUGACUCUACUGAGAAGCAGGGCAUCACAAUUGGUAUCGAAGUCAAUCAUCAGUCGGAAGUAUGAGAUGAGUCCUUACUGAGUAAGAGUCUAAAUGACAAGCUAAAUCUUGCUUUGAAGAUGACAGAUUAUGUUAAGGUCUAAAUUACAAGGGUAACGAGAUUAUCAUGCCUGGUGCCCACAACGGAAGCAUCAUCGAGCACGCGCACAGACCCGCCGAACGACCGAUUUUUUCCUACCCACCCAAGACGUCACAAUCUGUAUAAUAGAUUCCAUCUAAUUGUAACUAGUUAUUACAUCAUUAUUUUUAUUUACAUCACAUUCAAAUACAACCCAAAAAUUUCUUUGCACGUUGAGUUAUAUUUUACAAUUUUGCAAAAUGGUACUCUCUAGUAUGGAUACAUGUCUUGGCUACACCAAAAAGGUAGGUAGAACCUUUAUCUAGUAUGCUAAGCCGGCCCUUUCCUCACUUGGCCGUAUCUACCUCAGAAGGAUGUGUAGAAAUAAAGAUGAGAGCUAUAAACAUAGUUUGUAGUAGGUACAAUCGUCCAAAAAAAUACUCGUCCCACCAGGUCCAAAGGAGCAUAAUAAGUAUAUGAUAUGGCAGAUAUAUAAUCCACUAAAGUAUGUAUAAAAAUCAACUAUAUGUAAAAGAAAGCAAAUGUGUGCUUCUAUCAAUAUGGUAAUGAACUCCAUAGUAUGAGAUUCGAUUCAUGUUUUGUUUACUAUUUUCAUUACCUGGUUCUCGUUAUAAGUUUUUGCUUAACCAUUGGCAGCAAGGUCAUCGCACACACCUUGGCUCUAUGGGCAGUGAAAUCAUCGCACACAUUCAACCUAUCAACAGGUGGCGGAACCGCUGCAUGCACCUUGGCAUGUAUAUUUACAGGCGCGAAAUCCUCGCACAUGUCCGGCCCAUUGCAUCCAUAGGUAGGGGGAAUCGCCGCAGUCACCUUGGCCUAUUAAUGGGUUUAUUUUGGGGCUUUUCAUUUGAGAGCUUUUUGGAUGGAAUUGAUGAGUGUAGAACAUUGUUGUAGGUUGGAUUUGAAACUCCAUCGAGUUGAUUUGAGUCUUGGGCAAGUUUUACUUGGUUGAAGAUAAUUUUCACCUUUUUUCCAUUUGAUUUUUGGUGAUUUUCAGGGGAAGCUUUUCAGAAGCUCUAACCCCUUGGGAUUUUUUCUUAGGGUUCUAGAAGGCUAGGGAGCAACUUCUUUUGCGAAAUGAUCGAGCUCUCGAAGGUUAUCCAGUAGGUUUGACCUCAUCGGAAUGGGUGAACUCUCUCUAUAUCUUCUAUAAGACUUAAAUUGAUGCAUAUUCAUACUAGUUAUGACAUGAUAGAAUUUUUGAAUAUAUGGUACAUACAUGUUACAUGUAGAAGUUUUCAUACUCUAUGAAUUAAAAGUAUAAUGUGGACAUGUAUACCAAAUAGUAUGUAAUUGUGUUUUCUCUUAUGCAUCAUUGGAAUGCAUAUUAGAGAUAAGUAAAUGAAAUAUCCUAUGGGACCUUAUAUGGUUAGUGGAACUAUUGAGUUCAACUUGCAUGACAACCGAUAUACUUGUUACAGACAAGGGCAAAUAUGACAUUUUACAUGGUAAUGGCAAAUGUGAAGUUAAGCAUGUUGCACUUAACUUAGUCGAACAACUAGAAUUUAACAAUAUGACAUUAUGACGUAGUACUCGACCUGGAGGUCGCUAGUGGAUAUUACAUGUUUUAGACAUGACGAAAGCAUUUGGAUAUAUAAAUGGUAAGGGUACAUACAUAAGUGCUUUCAUGAUGAUUUAUAUACCCCAUAUAGCGGAGGCUUAAAUGACAAAGCAUAUGCAUGACUGAAUCAUGAUCUUGUUGACAUCCUCGAAAUUUAGUAAGUUACUCUUAUCGUACUAUUGUGGAAAUAGUAUGUGUUUGUAACCCGUUAGGGUCAUAGAUGAGAUGUAAAUCUUUACAUGCUCUAGACAUGAUAUAUAUUGGUAGAGACAUACCAUUGAACUUAUUGGAAAUGAAACAUGACAAUUAUGAUUUAGUAACCGACCUUAAGUCGAUGAUUGAGAUUCCAUAUUUUAGACAUGAUGAUUGAGUUAUGUGACCUUUGGACAUGAUGCUAUUGAUCACGCUUUCUUGCCAUGUGCUCAUUCGCACAAGCUUGUGAGGGUCGCUCCCUACAAGCCGGCACUCCGGAGAUGGCCUUUGCGACAACAUGCUUGCCCGUGCGGGAUUGGGAGCCGAAGUGGAUUGCCGUGGGGAAGGCUCAUUCCUAGAGGGAGAAUGUUGACUACCACGGAGCCAUUAGGCACGGCACAAGCCGGAACGUUACCAUGUAUAAGUCACGGCACAAGCCGGAACGUUACCAUGUAUAAGUCCCUCGUUAAUUAGGCAAAAAUUAAGUAAACUUGACAUAGUACAUCAAAGCUAAUUGAUGCAUAUAUAGUAGAUGGAUAUACUAGUGGGUUAUUACCUCGUGACACUACUUGAUGCAUUCAUAAUAGUUGAACGUUUAUGUUAGUCAUUAUUUGUAUUGACAACCUUAGUGGUAGUAAAUCAAUACACAUGUUGAUUAGUAUAGAAGUGUAGUUACAUAAUGAAAAUGAAAAAGAAAUGCCUGUGCAUGUAAACUUGCAUGCAUGUAAAUUUGUAAAUAAACUUGCAUGUAAAUUUUAUAUAAACUUGCAUAUACAAGUACCUGCGCAUGUGAUAGUAGAAACUCACAUAUAUAUUAGUUGGCAUUACCAUAUAAAGGCAUGACUAUAAUUGAAUCUGUUCAAUUAUUUGUUAUCUUUAUGCUUAUUAUAUCUUAUCAUGUCUCAGUUGACCUAGUAGUGUAUUUUUCCACUCUCGGCGGCUUAUCCACUGGGAACUAUUGUUUAAUAGUUCUCACCCCUAUUGGUUGUUUGUUUUUGUUUCAGAGCCUUCCGCAGCUGGAGUGUAACACACUGAACUUUAGCAAAUUGCAAGGUUCGAGUGUUUGAUUUGUCACGCCCCGAGCCCGCCUAUUUGGUCAAUUCGGGCACAUCAACAGACGCCGAACGGAAAGCACCUCCCCUGUCCGCCCAAGGCUCAACAAGACAUUUACAUGUAUAUAACUUUUGCGUAAGCAGAAACAUACAUAUAUAUGGCUUGCACGAGAGCAAGCAAUAGCCAAAAGUGAAAGUCCUAUACUAUAACAUCAUACAAGUACUAUGAUUCAUUUUAAUCACAUACAUGCAUAUACAUAUUUAAACAUUUACAUCCUUUCAUUCUUUUCUUUAUACAUGACAAGCCCCUAAAAUUACAUAGCAUUUCUUUCAUCCAAAACAUCAGCUUUUACAUUUAUACAACUUUCAUCAUCAAGUACAAAAGAUGACAAAACGGGUAUGAAGCUAUACUCCGGUAGUCACUGUCUAAGGCGUGAUACCUUUACCGCGAUCGUCGACUGGCUAGCUCGACCCCGGCUCUGUAGAUGAUAGUGGGGUGAGAACUACAACGAAGUUCCCAGUGGGUUCGGCCGCCGACCUUGCCAACUUUCCACUAGGUCUAAAUCAGGCAUAAGUAGAAGAAUAAAGCAGAUAGAUAGGUAACCAUGCUAUACAAAUGUAGCUAAUAUGCCUAAACAAGAUACAACAAUAAAGGAUGCUCAUGAUGCAUGCACAUAAUCAUUUUCCAAUACCCAAUCCUCUUGGCUAACCCGUAGGUUUCGCCCAAAAACUCACCAACUCAAAUCCCUACUAUCGGGGAGAUACUCGCUACACCCGACAGGACCGUCAUCUGGGAAAACUCCAACCCAGUGAUGACUACUCCGGAGCUCAUCACUCAAGGGGGUGCGACCGCCCUCAAGCCAAGACUUAUAGGUGAGUAUGAUCCAAUCCUUAGCUAUAAGGAUGUCAAGUUCAAUCUGAUCCUUAACUAUAAGGAUUUUAUGCUCACUCAAAUCCUUAACUAUAAGGAUGCCUCAACUAUGAGGAUGUCGUGUUCAUAUAUGCCACAAUGCCAAAUAUCUCACUCUCUUGGAUUCUUUAUAUUUAUUAAUACCACACACACUAAGUGUUCCAUGCUCUUGCAUUUAUUAUAUUCAUUAAUGCCACACACUAAGUGGUUUGCUCUCUAGCAUUGAUUAGUCUCAUUAAUGCCACACACACUAAGUGUCAUCAUUCUUUAGCAUUUCUAAACUCAUUAAUGCCACAAGGUGCUACUUUGCUCAUGUCAUAAUGUCACUAAGUUCUUUAUCUCAACUAUGCUCAAGUUACAAUUCAUACAUCUAUAGGGUUUACAACUCGUUCAAUAUCUUAAGUGCAUCUUUAUACUAAAAGCAUGCAAACAUCAUAUAACAACAUGUUCUUAUCUCAACCCUACAAUGCAUGAAUCCUAUACUCAUAUAUGCUCAAUAAGUGACAUUUAGACAUAAAAGGAAAUUCAAUGAUUUCGGAUAGCACCACCCACCUCGUAGGGUUGCUAAGGUGCUACGAUUCAAGCCUCGUGAUUUUUAGCCGCCUAUUUCCCUUGACUGCGGCAAAACGAAGCCAAAACAGGCUUUUUCCUCGAUUUUCUUCGCGUAGACUCGUCGGAUCUUCGAACCGAGUCUCCCAAUGCGUCGGUUUACUCAACAAUUAGGGCUACGAGAGAUCAAUUCCAACUUAGAUCUCAUUCCUAGCAAAACCCCAAUUUUAACCGUAAGGCUUCUAUGAAUCCUCAUAACUUCACAAUACAUGAAGAUUUACAUGCUACUUUACCAUACAAGCUUCUAGAUACAACUACUAGAAGUAAUUAACUCAAAACCCUAGCUUAGAGUCAUGAAAACCCACCUUAGGUUCCAAGCUUUCCUCUAAGCCCAUGUACAAUAGCAAACUUCACCCUCAACUUGGUCUUCUUCUCUACCAAGACCCUUCCAAGAGCCUCUCUUGCACCCACCCUAGUGAGAGAGAAUGAGAGAGAGAGUGUUUUAGAGAGAGAGAGUGUGUUCUUUUGGGUUGCAAAGGUGAGGGAGAGGGAGAGAUAUGGGCUACAACCCCUCAUAUGCACUCCCACUUGCACACAAUUGCACUUAACACCCCAAACAAUCCAUUUCUCACACAGCCCGCACUGGGCUGGUUUCGGCUACGGGGUCCGGACCCUGUGCAGGGUCCGGACCCCGUAAGUACUUCAGCUGCGAAAUUUUCCCAGCUUCUACCUCAAGUGCUCACCAAGGUCCCUCAUAACCUUAAAAGCCAUUCCAACGCAUUUCGGACUUUCCGAAGCGUUCCGAAGUGAUCCACUUCGCACUUUGGUCAACUUGCCUAAAGUUCGGUAUAGCCUAUCGAAGUUUCAGUACAUUACAUUAUUAGUGUUCUGUGCCUUUCCGGAUUUUCUAGAGGGUCGUUGACUAUGUUCCGACCGAUGACUCGCGUCUCAAGGAGCGAGGUUUAGUAAGUAGCGCCAAAACCUCUAAAAUACAGGAAUUGGGCUGCUCUCGGGUUGAGCUUUGCGAGGCUGAGUACCGGUACUGCAUUGCCCGAGUACCGGUACUGGAGCUUGUGCCGGUACUGCAUCGUGAGAGUACCGGUACGGAGUGUAUUUUCUCGCUUACCCGAGGCUCGGGUUUGGGCGUGCUGCUGCCUGGUACCGGUACUCCAGCCCGUGUUACCGAUACGCAGUGCAGUCCACAGACUGCAGGUUUUUUAGGGUUCUUUUUGUAAUUGUUGCAACACAACCCCAUACCCUUUGGGCUGGGGCUUUCGUGCUGCAACCAGAGGAGGAGAAGAGGUGGGUUCUCUUCAUUUUUCCUUGGGUUUUUUCCUCUCUUUUGCUUGGGAAUUGAUGGAUUAAUCUCUCCCUUUUGCUCUUUUUUGCAUUUUGAUGAUUCUUCCACCUUGGGGAAGCUUUGGAGUAAGGAUUGGAGCUUGUUUGAGGAAAGAUUUCUAACCCUAGCUCACUCCUGGCUUGGUUUGGAGCUUCAAGAGAGGUUAGUAACAUUGAUCUUCUCUUUAGAUCACGUUUCUUGUGGAUUUUUAUAAUGAAAACCUAGAAUGAGAAAUCUAGGAUUUUAUUUGGGGGUUUUUGAUUUGUAGCUUUUGGAGCUAAAUUGAUGGGUGUAGAACUUCCUUUUAGGUUGGAUUUGGAGUAUCUUAUCCUUCAUUUGGAGUUUGGAAGGGUUCUGCACCAUACAAGGUGAGUUUUGACCUAUUGUUAGGUUGAUUAAAGUUGAGCUUGUGGGGUGUUCGUUUAACCCUCAUAGAAAUUCUUAUAGGGUGUUAGGAGCUUGGUGGACAACUUCGUUCGAAGGAACGAAGGGGUUCGAAGAUCAUCCGGUGGGUUUGACCUCACCGAAAUGGGUGAACUCCUCCCCUAUGUCUUCCUUAUGUUUUUAAGACAUAAUUAGAUGCUAUUUCAUGCUCAAUAGGGCAUGUUAGAAUUUAUGAAAACCUAAUACAUACAUGUUAUGUGUAGUGAAAUUCAUGCUCUAUGUAGUGGAGGCCUAUAUGUGGACUUAGUCAUAAAAUGACACUUCAUGAUGAUCUCCCCUAUUAUGUAAUAAUAGAGAGCAUGUUAGAGAUUACAUGUUAUGUAUAGGACAUUUAUACUUUAUGUAGUAGAGGUAUAUAACAUGGACUUGCAUUUUAAAUAACGUGUGGGUGUAUUGCCUAUUAUGUAAUAAAAGAGAGCAUGUUAGAGAUAAACAAGAGUUUGAUCUUGUUAACCUUGUAUGAAUUGUGAAAUGAUGAAGACUUAGCAAUUAGUUGCAUGUUGAGGUAUACUUGUGGUAGACAAGGUAAAUGUGACUUUGUGAACCCCUGUCCGCCCAAGGCUCAACACAAGUAUCAACAUGUAUAUAAUUUGCGCAAGCGAAAACAUGGAUAUACAUGGCUUGCACGAAGGCAAACAACAACCAAAGUGAAAGUUCUACAACUAUUACAUCCAUACAAGUAUCUUGAUUACAUUUAAUCAAAUACAUGCAUACUAGAAUUUACAUUCAUUCAUUCUUUUCUUUCAUAUGCCCGUCACAUAAUCAUCAUUCUCCAAAACAUGUCUUUUACAUCAUUUAUACAACAUUGUUCAUCAUAUACAAAAGAUGAUAAUAACAUGGUAUGAACUAUUCUCGGGUAGUCACUAGCUAGGGUGCGAUACCCUUGCCACGGUCCUCAACCGUCUCGCACGAACCUGGAUCUGUAAAAAUAGUGGGGUGAGAACUACAAGAAAGUUUCCAGUGGGCUUGGCCGCCGACCCCGUCGACUUUCCCACUAGGUCUAAACAGGCAUAUGUAGAAGAAACAGAUAGAUAGGUAACCAUACUAAACAAAUGCAGCUACUAUGCCUGAACAAGAAUGCUAACAAUAUAUGAUGCUCAUGAUGCAUGCUGAUUGCCAUUCUCAAUACCGAAUCCUCUCAGCUAACUCGUAGGUUUCGCCCUAAAACUCACCAACCAAAUCCCUAUUAUCGGGGAGAUACUCGCUACAAUACAACGGGACUGUCCUCUGGGGAAACUACAACCCAGUGAUGACUACUUCGAAGCUCAUCGCUCGAGGGGGAGCGACCGCCCUCAAGCCAAGACUUACAGGUGAGUAUGAUCCAAUCCACAACUAUGAGGAUGCCAUGUUCACAAAUGCCACAACACACAAAGUGUCUCAUUCUCUCGCAUUCGAUGCCACAAAAUGCUAUAUCAAUCAUUUGUCAUAAUGUCACCAUGUUCUCUAACUUGGCUAGUUCAUGUCUCGAUUCAUGUCUCAAUUCAUACAUCUAUAGGGUUCAUACAUGUCCAUAUCUCAUUGCCAAUCUUAUAUGCAUCUUUAUACUAAAAGCAUGCAAACAAUAUAUAUAUCAACAUAUUCUCAUUUUAACCCUACAAUGCAUGAAUUCUACAUAUAUACAUACAUGCUCAAUGGUGACCUUUAGACAUAAAAGGAGAUUCAACUGUUUCGGAUAGCACCACUCACCUUGUAGGGAUGCCGGAAGGCUAUGAUCCACGUCUCGUGAUUUAUGGUCGCCUACUUCCCUCGACUACGGCAAACGAACCCGAAAUAGGGUUUUUCCUGGAUAUCUUGGCGUAGACUCAAUGGAAUCUCGAGCCGAGUUUCCCAACGUGUCGAUUUACUCUCCAAUUAGGGCUACAAGAGACCAAUUCCUAGUUAGAUCUCAUACUUAGCAAAACCCCAAUUUGACCCUAGGGUUUCCAUAAUCCACCAAAUACCUCAUAAUACAUGGAUAUUCAUGAAAGAAUCCAUCACAAUAACUUCUAGAUACAACAACUAGAAGAAAUUAACCCAAAACCCUAGCUUUAAACCAAAAGAACUCACCUUGAGUUCAAGCUUCUUCCUCAACUUCUUGCAGAAAAGCUAACUUCACCCUCCAACAAGUCUUCUUCUCCACCAAGCCCCCUCUUGGAGCAAGCCUAGUGAGAGAAGGAGAGAGAGGGAGAGAGAGAGAGAAGUGUGAGGAGCUCUAGAGAGAGAAAGAGAUACACGAACGUUACGAACAACCCAUUGCUCAAACAUUAAGCAACUCAAGCAAAGGUGAAGAAAACUCACCGAAUGCGAAGGAAACUCUCUCGAUCUCCAAAUGGGAGUUAGAGUCCUUCAAAUCCAACCUAAACAAAGGUUCUAAGCCCAUCAAUUGAGAUUAAAAAGCCUCAAAUCCAAAAAUCCCUAUUGCUAACCCUAAUUUCCAAUUCUAGGGUUUCAUAUAGUAAAAUCUACCAAAACAUGAAUCAAGAAGUAGGUUAGGCUUACUAACCUCUCUAAGGCCCCACACCAAGCUUGCAAGUAAGCUAGGGUUAAAGUUCUUUCUUUCCACAAGCUCCAAUCCUCACUCUAGUGCUCUCUUCAAGGAGGUACUCCAACCAAAAGCAAAGAGGAGCAAAGGGAGAAGAUCAAAAUGAGACAAAACACAAGAAAAAAAGGAAAGGAAACAAGAGAGGAGCUCUUACCUCUCUUCUCCACAGGUCAGGGCUCAAAGAAACCUCUAAGGGCUGUGGGGGUAUUAAUAGAUAGGUUACAAUUGCAAAAACAUCCCUUAGAUCACGCAGUCUGCAUUCUGCACUGUGUACUGAUAUACGGGAAAGUGUACCGGUACAAAACCCUGUGCGCGCAAACCCCAGGCUCGAGUUGGCAGAAAAAUCCAUCUGUACCGGUACAACCAUCGAAUUGUCAUCGGUACACUUUCUGUAUCGGUACAACCAUCAAGGUGUACCAGUACACAGCCCAGCAAACUGCAAUCCGAGAGCAGUCUAAGUCCAUCACUUUGGUGACCUUAGCGCUACUUUAAAUACUACAAUUCUCGGGAUACGAGCCAUAGGUCGGAACACCGUCAACGAUCCUCCAGAAUAUCUAGAAAGACUUGGAACGCAGAUAAAACACUCGAACCUCGCAAUUUGCAAAUGUCCAGUUUGUUACAUUCACCUCUCCUAAAAGGGAGUUUCGUCCGCGAAACUCAAAAGUAACGUACCUCAAGACUCUAUCUGGAAGAGAUGGGGAUAACGCUCCUGCAAAGCGCUCUCAAGCUCCCACGUGGCCUCUCACUCCUCGUGGUUACUCCUAAGAACCAUCACAUACGGAAUAUCCCGAUUCCGUAGCUUCCGCACCUCGCGAGCCAAGAUCCUCACGGGUUGCUCCUCAAAACUCAAGUCAUCCCUCAGCUCUAUAGGUGUAGCAUCCAAUACAUGAGCACGGUCGAAGAUAUACUUUCGAAGGACCGAUACAUGAAAAACGUUGUGAACGCCCGAUAGGUUCGACGGUAGAGAAAGUCGAUACACUACCGGGCCUACCCGCUCCAAAAUCUCAUACGGUCCAAUAAAUCGGGGGCUCAACUUUCCCCGAAUCCCGAAUCUCCUGAUCCCUCUAGUCGGCAAGACCAUUAAGAAAACAUGGUCUCCAAUUUGGAACUCCAAGUCUCGCCGUCAUCGAUCGGCGUAGCUCCUCUGUCGACUCUGUGCCGUCAAAAGUCGCUCCCGAGCAACACGAACCUUGUCCUCAGCUUCCUGGAGCACAUCAGGGCCUAAAGCCAAUCUCUCGCCAACUUCACUCCAAUGAAGUGGCGAUCUACACUUCCGUCCAUAAAGUGCUUCAAAGGGUGCCAUCUUGAUACUUGCUUGAUAACUAUUGUUAUAAGCAAACUCCGCCAUCGGUAGAUGCUGCGACCAUUCUCCCUGAAAGUCUAUCAUACAUACUCGGAGCAUAUCCUCUAAGGUCUGUAUGGUGUGCUCCGACUGCCCAUCACUCUGAGGGUGGAAAGCAGUGCUGAAAUCCAAUCGGGUGUCUAAGGCGUCCUGCAGACUCCUCCAAAAGUGAGACACAAAUCGGGUGUCUCGAUCAGAUACAAUCGAAGUAGGCACUUCGUGAAGUCGCACAAUCUCAUCGAGGUACACUUGUGCGAGCUUCUCCCCCAUCCAAGUAGUGUGAAUAGGUAUGAAAUGCGCCGAUUUCGUCAACCUAUCCACGAUCACCCAAAUAGCAUCAUGCCCGGUCUAAGAACGAGGCAAUACCAUAACAAAAUCCAUAGUGAUCUUCUCCCACUUCCACAUAAAAAUAGGCAAACUCUGAAGUUUUUCUGCGGGCAAUCGGUGCUCCGCCUUUACUUGUUGGCAAGUUAGACAACGAGCUACAAACUCAUCAACAUCCUUUUUCAUCCCGGGCCACCAGUAGAGCAACUUUAAGUCCUUAUACAUCUUGGUGCCUCCCGGAUGUAUAGCAUAGGGUGCCUAGUGUGCUUUUUGAAGAAUAUCCUCCUUAAUUCCCGAAUCCGCCAGUACACAAAGCCGUCCACGAAAACGCAUCAAUUCUUGGUCAUCCACAAGGAACUCACCGGUGCAACCAUCAACCAUUAUAUCUCUAAUCUUUUGCAACUCCACGUCGGGAACUUGCUUUUCUUGAAUUCUAUCCAAAAGUGUAGGUUGCACUACCAAAGUCAUCAACCUCAAGGGUGUGUCAGGAGUUACAACCUCCAAUUCCAACCGCUGUAUCUGCUCGAUCAACUGCGGUUGAGUAACAACAUGCAUCGCUAAGUUUUCCGUCGAUUUUCGACUUAGCGCAUCUGCCACCACGUUAGCUUUGCCCGGGUGGUAAAGAAUCGUCAGAUCAUAAUCCUUGAGCAGCUCCAACCAUCUGCGCUGCCUCAAGUUCAGCUCCUUCUGAGUGAAUAGAUACUUUAAACUCUUGUGAUCCGUGUACACUUCACACCGCUUGCCAUAAAGGUAGUGGCGCCAUAGCUUCAAUGCAAAGACUACGGCCGCCAACUCCAAAUGAUGUGUGGGAUAGUUUCUCUCAUAUUCCUUUAGUUGGCGAGAAACAUACGCGAUCACCUUGCCAUCCUGCAUCAAUACACAAUCCAAUCCAUUAAAUGAAGCUUCACUAUAAACCAUAUACCUUGCUCCAGCAACCGGCAGGGUUAGGGUCGGGGUGGUCGUCAAUCUUUGCUUCAACUCUUGGAAGCUCCUUUCACACGCAUCGUUCCAAAAGAACUUGACACCUUUAUGCGUGAGCCUCGUGAGGGGACUAGAUAGCUUAGCAAACCCCUCAACAAAUCUCCGGUAGUAGCCGGCCAAUCCAAGAAAGCUCCGUAUCUCCGUGACGCUCGUCGGUCUCGGCCAAUCCUUGAUAGCCUCAAUUUUUUUAGGAUCCACGGCUAUACCCGACCCCAAAAUGAAAUGUCCAAGGAAUGCCACCUCUCGAAGCCAAAAUUCACACUUUUUCAACUUGGCAUAAAGCUCAUUUUUUCGAAAUAUUUGAAGUACAAGCCUGAAAUGUUUCUCGUAAUCUGCAUCACUUCGGGAAUAAACCAAGUUGUCAUCGAUGAACACCACGACGAACCUAUCUAGAUGAGGCUUAAAAAUACAAUUCAUUAAAUCCAUAAAAGCUGCCGGGGCAUUAGUAAGCCCAAACGGCAUAACAGUGAACUCAUAAUGUCCAUAUCGUGUUCUAAAAGCCGUCUUCGAUAUAUCCUCGGGUUUGAUCUUUAGCUGGUGGUAUCUCGCCUGCAAGUCUAUCUUGGAAUACAUACUCGAUCCUUGAAGCUGAUCAAAUAAGUCGUCAAUCCUCGGCAACGUAUACUUAUUCUUAAUCGUGACUUUAUUAAGUUCACGAUAAUCCACACAUAGGCGCAGUGAUCCGUCCUUCUUCUUGACGAACAAAAUUGGCUUUCCCCAAGGCGAGACGCUCAGUCGAAUGAAGCCCUUGUCCAACAAAUCCUGCAGCUGUGCCCUCAGCUCUUGCCCCGCCCCGAAACCACUACCAAUUUGGCACAGAGGCGGAUUUGUCGACGUGCCCGGGGAAUGUGAUAUCCGGGGCGUGACAGGUAGUCCCAGGAACGAGAUCUACGACAAACUCAAUCUCCUUAUCAAGUGGCAUACCCGGUAGCUCAGCUGGAAACACAUCCUGAAACUCCCGCACCACCGGAAUAUCCUUAAUCCUAGGGGUGUCAUCCUCGCCCCUUAGCACAACACUAGCCAAAUAGGCUAUGCAACCUCUGCUGAUCAGCUGUCUAGCUCGAGACGAACUGAUCGCCAUCGCAAACAGUGAACUCCGGCAUCCUCUAAAUACAACAUCAGUCUGCCCCGAUUCUCUAAAAGUAACCGUGCGAUUCUUGCAAUCGAUCGUGGCAUAAUACUUGGUUAGCCAGUCCAUACCCAAGACCACAGCGAACUCCCCUAGCUUGCGCAGGGCUAGCAAGUCCACGGGCAUAAUCCAGUCUCCUACCCGAACAGGGCAACUGGAGCAAUAAUCUCUAAUAUCCAAAACGUGAUCGGGUACCACAACCUGUCCCGGAUGCAACAAAGAAACCAAAGGGAAGCCAUGGAACUUGGCAAAUAGUCGUGAUGCCAUGGAACUCGGCAAACAGUCAAUCUAUGAAUGAAUGUGAUGCACCGGUAUCAAACAAUGCACGAACUAGAAUGCCAUCUAAUAAAAUGAUACCUGCAACCACAUCCUCGGCUGCUGCCGCCUCCUCUGUCUGAGCGGCGUACAUGCGCCCACUCGGGGCCUGUCGAGAUCCCUCGCUCUGACGCUAGACGGAUGACCAUCCAGGCUAGUACUGUGCCGAUGGAGUCCCCUGGCUGGCGGCUGGUAGAGCCGGUGCCGAUGCAGUCGACAGUGUCGGUGACGAACCACUCGGGCACUCGGUCCGGAAGUGGCCCUCCUGGCCAUACAGAAAAUAACUCCCUCCCCGCUGUGGGCACUGCGGUGGAAUAUGGGGACCACCACAGAUCACGCACUAGGGGGGUCCGGCGUCGAUCAGUACUCCUCGCUGUGCUGCUGAGCCGCACCCACGCUGCUGGCUCCUAGAGUGCUUCGGCGGCCUUCUAAAGUAGGUCUGACUCGCACCCUCAGCCGCGGGCCUUUUGCCCUUGCCCUUGUCCAUGCCUUCUCUCCGCUCUUGCACAUUCGCCGCACCGCUCUCCACAAUGAGCACGCAAUUCACCACCUCCCGGUAGGUUUGGAGGUUAGAGAAUUGCACGAACCGGAAGAUAGACGGUCGCAAUCGUCGCUCGAAGAUGCGAGCCUUGUCCUCGUCGUCCAGCACGACGAAAGGCGCGCAGUGUAGAAGCCGAGAAAACUCCCUCUCAAACUCGGAUACAGUCCGGUCUCCCUGGCGCAAGUUGCGCAAGUCCUGCUCCAUCUUCCUCUUGACACUGUCAGGGAAGUAAUGCGCCAAAAGAAGCUUCUUGAACUUCUUCCAAAAAAUAGCCGCCAAAUCCGUGCUGCAGUUCUUCUGAAUGUCCAACCACCAGCAGUAGGCCUCGUCGUCCAAGUGGUGUGUGGCGAGCCAAACUCGAUCCCUCUCCUCCACAAGGUGUCGUGGAAGAGCUUCUCCAUGUGCAUCAACCAUUUCUCCACGAUCCAGUGGUCAACCUUCUCUCCGUCGAAGAUCCAGGGACUGUACCUCCUGAACUCAUUGAGGCGAUCCAAGAGCCGGUCCGACUCUGCUCUCUCAACUAACGCGGGGAAAACUGCCCCCGACAGAGGCACCUGAACUGGUGGUGCCGCGACCACCUCCUCCCGAGGCGCAUCCGCAGGUGCCGUCCGCGAAGUGUCGAGUGCAGGGGACGACACCCUGGGUGCAACCACCUCCACCGGCGCGGGUGGUGAAGGAACCUGAGCCUUCCUAACCGCUGCCUGCUGCAGCAGUAGGUCCUCCAGGUGCUUCAUCCGCGCCUCCUGUCGGCGCGCUGCCUCUGUCUGCUGUCGGGCCGCCUCCGCCUGCUGAGUCACCAAGUCGGUGAGGGCCGCAAGUUGGCUACUCAACUCACGGAUCUCGCCGGAUCCGGAGGUAGCGGAGGUCUCGACCUCCUCAAGAUUUGCCGCAUUGUCCGCUCCAACCGACUUAGAGCGAGUAAUCGGCAUCUCAUUACAACAUCAUAAAAGCGCAAGUUAGUAAAACCCACGCUAGCGAAUCCCCGCUCAAGUAGAUAAUACCCAAAUCAUGCGAAAGUAAGGAAGUGUUCUUUAGUACUAACUCCCGAUGUUACGUUGUCGGCCGCCAACAUAACCCUCCGCGAAGUUAGAAGCCAUACACUUCGAUUAAACUCCAACUUUUGAGAGUUAUAUUACAACCCAAUCGUGAUACUUUUACUUACAAGUCAAAUAGACCUCGUCUCUCACGAGCCUAUCUCCUAUAGUCCAACCAGCCUAAGGUUUGCUAGAUCCACUAAGACUCAACCCUAGGCUCUGAUACCAAAUUAAUCUGUCACGCCCCGAGACCCGGCGGAAACCCGCCCGGCACGUGUCCAGACCUGCCAUACGUCUAAAACGUAUAAGGCGUCUACAAUAAAACAGUAAAUAAAGCAAGAUAAAAGAACAUCUAGGAGUAUCUGAGCAAAGUACAACUAGAAUCUACAAUAGAGGAAUAAACAAAGGCUAAAAUUCACUAAGAUAGAACCAUAAAGUAGAAUAAUCGAAAUCCAAGAACAAGUGCUAAGAGUAAUACAAUGGUGGUCUCUAUACAUAGUAACAAAACUCUCUCACCAAAAACACAAAAAGAGAGUAGACCACCUAGGAGCAAAAGCAAACUCCGCUAUCUAGCUACGUGACCCCUUUGCCGCGAUCCCGUGCCUCCACCGGUGCUGAAGGCUCUGAAAGGAAACCAUAAAAUAGGGGCGUGAGAACUAUUAAAUAAUAGUUCCCAGUGGGCAAUUACUGACUUUAGUGAAAUGCGCCACUAGACCCAAAAACUGAAAAGGGUAAGUACAAGUAUGAAAUGAACCAUAAGUUACUAACAUGAAAGCUUACUAUAACAAGAUAUCUCUACUUAGCAUGAAUUUGCAUAAGUAAUAAAUCUGCUAUAACAUAAAUAUCCAAGAGUACAACUAACAUAAUGUCCACAAGCUAAAUAGUAAAAUAUCAUUGUUUACUAUUCUAGUCAAUGUCCACUCGGUAUACUAAGUCACCAAUGUACCAAUCCCGUAGGACCUACCCGUAGGUAGUCCGACCUGCGCCGUGCCUAAUGGCCCCAUGGUAAUCAACAUUUUCACUCUAGGAAUGAGCCUCCCCACAGCAUCCCAUUUCGAUGCCCAAUCCCGUAUGGGCGAGUAUGUGUCGCGAUGGCUAUCUCCGGAGUGCCGGCUUGUAGGGAGCGACCCUCACAAGCAUGUGCGAAUGAGCACAAUGGCAAGAAUAGUAAUUAGAACUAUUCUAGCUAUUUUGAGGGUUGACGAGAGUGUACCAACCCCUGACUUAAGCUUAAUAAGUGCGAG
rnacentral:lncRNA from 1 species